rnacentral:lncRNA from 1 species
UCUGAGGCCACCUCACAAUGAAGAAGAAGGUGUCUGGGGUUUCAGCCUCUUUUUUGCACAUAUAGCAUCUGUUUGGGAAUUGGAUUUUUCUUUCUUUAUGUUGUCUUAGGUGAGACAUGCCUCAUAUAGAGCUAUCCUGGUAAAAAAAAAAUAAAAAAAAUCUACCUUAGGUGGUAGCUUGGUCCUCCAAAUGAGUUUCCAGGGCCAAUUAGCUAUCAUGGGGUUUCUAGAGCACAACUGUUGAUACCCUUCCUUGACUGUAUAAACUCCUUUCUGGUGUCCCCAUUUGAGCUUAUCAGCUGCCUGGGGAUUAAUGUGACAAUGUUGUAG